rnacentral:rRNA from 1 species
AAUAUUGCACAAUGGGCGCAAGCCUGAUGCAGCGACGCCGCGUGAGGUAAGAAGUAUUUCGGGAUGUAAAGCUCUAUCAGCAGGGAAGAAAAUGACGGUACCUGACUAAGAAGUCCCGGCUAACUUCGUGCCAGCAGCCGCGGUAAUACGUAGGGGGCAAGCGUUAUCCGGAUUUACUGGGUGUAAAGGGAGCGUAGGUGGUUCGGCAAGUCAGAUGUGAAAGCCCGGGGCUCAACCCCGGGACUGCAUUUGAAACUGUCGUACUAGAGUGCAGGAGAGGGAAGUGGAAUUCCUAGUGUAGCGGUGAAAUGCGUAGAUAUUAGGAGGAACACCAGUGGCGAAGGCGGCUUACUGGACUGUAACUGACACUGAGGCUCGAAAGCGUGGGGAGCAAACAGG